rnacentral:rRNA from 1 species
CGCACGGGUGAGUAACACGUAUGCAACCUGCCUGCCACAGCCGGAUAAUCGGGAGAAAUUCCGUCUAAUACGGCAUAAUGCAUCGACGGGACAUCCUGUCGGUGCCAAAGGUUAAUUCCGGUGGCGGAUGGGCAUGCGUCGCAUUAGUUAGUUGGCGGUGUAACGGACCACCAAGACGACGAUGCGUAGGGGUUCUGAGAGGAAGGUCCCCCACACUGGUACUGAGACACGGACCAGACUCCUACGGGAGGCAGCAG